rnacentral:rRNA from 1 species
CGGGGCUUAAAGUCUUGUAAUUGGAAUGAUGGGAAUUUAAACCUCUUCCAGAGUAUCAAUUGGAGGGCAAGUCUGGUGCCAGCAGCCGCGGUAAUUCCAGCUCCAAUAGCGUAUAUUAAAAUUGUUGCAGUUAAAAAGCUCGUAGUUGAAUUUCUGCUGCAUUGCUUGUGUCCCUCUGGGGUCUGUGCAUGUGGCUUUUUUCGGACGGAGUUUCUUUGUCUGAAUGUUUACUUUGAGAAAAUUAGAGUGCUCAAAGCAGGCUUUCGCCUUGAAUAGUUUAGCAUGGAAUAAUAAAGUAGGACUUUGGUUCUAUUUUGUUGGUUUUAGGUACCAAAGUAAUGGUUAAUAGGAACAGUUCGGGGCAUUCGUAUUUAACUGUCAGAGGUGAAAUUCUUAGAUUUGUUAAAGACGAACUACUGCGAAAGCAUUUGCCAAGGAUGUUUUCAUUAAUCAAGAAC